UAUAUAUAUAUAUAUAUAUAUAUAUAUAUAUAUAUUAGUAUACUGUAUUUGUAAAAUAAUUUUAAAAUAUAAAUAAACAUAAAUAGAAAACUAAUUCGAGCUUACUGAAUUUAUAGUGUUUCUUUAAGAAAUUUAAUCCCCUUCUAAUACCUAAGGUUAUGGAUUAUUUCCUCCCAGGAUAAAACGAAUUAUACACUUGUGUAGUGGUACUUCAAACCCCGGUAUUUCAGCGAACACAAAGUUCGGUAACAAAUCGCACUUACUUUUGUUUUAUUUGAUGCUAAAAAUAUGCAGAAAAAGGAGAAGAAAAUCAUAGUGAAAUUCUGAGCAGAAUAUUGUUGUAUUAAUAACCAAAGUUGGGCUGAGAUCUGAAGAGGUACAACUCUUCAGAAUAGUGUUUAUGCAAAAUGGCCACAAUAUAAAUAUUAUUACAUAAAUAGUCAUUUACUCAACAAUAAAGAGGGAAAAUCGAAUAGGGCAAUUAAUUUUCUGACUAAAACAGAAAAACAAAUUGGAUUAAUAUUAAUAAUUUGUUAGUAAAACAAAAUAUUUAAUAACAUCAAAAAGUUAAUCAAUCAAUCGAUUAUUUAUCCAAAUCUAAAUCUGAACCCAGACUGAGCCGAGCGACGAAGACAACGAUGCGCGCGAGGCUUGCCUUCUUUUCAACUCUUUAAGAGCAAGAAGAAGAGCAAUUGUUUAUAUACCCAUAAAAAACAUCUUCCUCUUCCAAUAUGGGACAGUGUCAAUUUACCAAUGGGGGAGCUUAAAGAAGGAAAAUAAAAAGGGAAAAUUGAAGAGGGUAGUUAAUUUUCUGACCAGAACAGAAAAACGGAUUGGAUUAAGCGAGUGACGCGACGCAAGGCUUGCCUUCUUCUCAAAUUUUUAAGAGUUAGAAGAAGAGCAAUUGCUUAUAUACCCAUAAAAAACUUUUUCUUCUUCCAGUAUGGGACAAUGCUCAUCUACCAAUGGAGGAACUUAACAUUUCACUUAAAAAUUUUAUUUCCUUCCUUUUCCAUUCACUCUCUUUUAAAUAUUUAAUAUAUUAUAUAAAUAUAUAAAAAACCCAACAAUAUAUUUACUUAUUUAGUGCUCCUGUUUAAGCAAAUUAGUUAAAUCCCACUAAAACUCUCAGGAUAAUAGUAAAGAACACGAAUGGAGCUGAAUAUACCAGCUUAGCUUGGAUUAAUUGAUUGACUUAAUUCUCGGGCGAUUAAACCGCAAGAGUUCCCAGGAAAUCACAACGUUACGUUAGAAUUCAAGAGCAGUUCCAUAUUGAAAAUUCGAUGGGAUUACUCACAAAUUCUGAGGAGACUGAUGCUACGAACAAUGUCAUCGUUGAGCUCCGGUAGUGCUGUCAUCUUCUUGUAUGAGAAACUUUAUUUAGAGCGAGAGAAUUAAAGAAAUUUCUCAGAAAAAUUA
rnacentral:lncRNA from 1 species